rnacentral:rRNA from 1 species
UGCCAGCCGCCGCGGUAACACGGGGGGCGCAAGCGUUAUUCGGAAUUAUUGGGCGUAAAGGGCGCGCAGGCGGUCUUGUCCGUCAGGUGUGAAAGCCCGAAGCUCAACUUCGGAACUGCCAUUGAUACUGUUGAUCUUGAAUUUGGUUGAAGUGGGCGGAAUAUGACAUGUAGCGGUGAAAUGCAUAGAUAUGUCAUGGAACACCAAUAGUGAAGACAGCUCACUAAGCCAAUAUUGACGCUGAUGAACGAAAGCAUGGGUAGCGAACAGGAUUAGAUA